GGGAACAGACUUUCUCAUAGGAGCCAGGCUGUGGAACCAGCACUGAAGGCACAGGAGGAAGGAAAUGCUGGAGAUGCCCCAUCACAGGUUCUGCACAGACCCAACGCUUCUCUCACGCUGAAUCCCAAACCAUCCCAUGGCAGGUGGACAGAGUGCACGUGAGGGGGGCAAGAAAGGCAGCUCCAUGUUCCUGAAACAGGAACUUCCCCCAGUUUCUGUUCCAGGACUCAGUCAGCACUUCCAGGUGACAGGGAGGACACCAAGGGCACAGGGAGCCCAGCUCCUUUGGCAGCAGCUCUGUGGGCCAGGCACAUCUCUGAUUUCUGCACAGUCACCUCAGCUUGGCCAGCACGGGGCACUCAGCUGGGCUCUGCUGCUGGAUCACCCAGGAGCUCCCUGCCAGUGGAUCACCCAGGAGCUCCCUGCCAGUGGAUCAUCUGGGCUUCUGGAUCAUCCAGGAGCUCCCUGCCAGUGGAUCUCUUGGCUGCUGGAUCACCCAGGAGCUCCCUGCCAGUGGAUCACCCAGGAGCUCCCUGCCAGUGGAUCAUCCAGGAGCUCCCUGCCAGUGGAUCAUCUGGGCUGCUGGAUCACCCAGGAACUCCCUGCCAGUGGAUCACCCAGGAGCUCCCUGCCAGUGGAUCAUCCAGGAGCUCCCUGCCAGUGGAUCAUCUGAGCUGCUGGAUCACCCAGGAGCUCCCUGCCAGUGGAUCAUCUGGGCUGCUGGAUCAUCCAGGAGCUCCCUGCCAGUGGAUCAUCCAGGAGCUCCCUGCCAGUGGAUCAUCUGAGCUGCUGGAUCACCCAGGAGCUCCCUGCCAGUGGAUCUCUGGGCUGCUGGAUCAUCCAGGAGCUCCCUGCCAGUGGAUCUCUGGUCUGCUGGAUCACCCAGGAGCUCCCUGCCCAGUGGAUCAUCUGAGCUGCUGGAUCAUCCAGGAGCUCCCUGCCAGUGGAUCAUCUGGGCUGCUGGAUCACCCAGGAUCUCCCUGCCAGUGGAUCAUCUGGGCUGCUGGAUCACCCAGGAGCUCCCUGCCAGUGGAUCAUCCAGGAGCCUCCCUGCCAGUGGAUCACCCAGGAGCUCCCUGCCAGUGGAUCAUCCAGGAGCUCCCUGCCAGUGGAUCAUCUGGGCUCCUGGAUCACCCAGGAGCUCCCUGCCCAGGCCACCUCGGCUGUGCACCUGCAUGGCUCCUUCCCAGCUGUAAUGCCUGAGGACCUCGGUCUUCCCAUCCCUCUGCCCCUCCAGGACAGCCUUCCCCCUCCAGAGCUUCAUCCCCAGUGCCUACAGCCCAAAAUCGCUGCCCUGUGGCCGUGGCAUCACCUGCCUGUGCUGGGUCCUGGUUCCCCCAGUGGGGGAAGAAGGGCAGCAUUGUUGUCAGUGCUUUGCAGAGCCAGUCACAGCCUUGUUUCCUGCAGUGGGAACCAGGGAGUGAAGCAGGGAUGGAACAAGGGACUGAGGAGCGGUGAUGGAUGGAUCCCCACUGCUGCUGAAUGAGGCUUUGACCUCCAGCAAGGGCAGCUCUGCUCCCCUCAGUACCCAGAGACACACCACAUACCUGGAGUCACGGGAUCACGGAAUCCCUGGUGUUGGAAAAGGCCCUGAGACCAUCAAAUCCAACAAUUCCCACCACUAACCCCUGUCCCCGUGUGCCACAUCCACGUGUACCCAGCUGGAGGCAGUGCCACUUUCAGCUCCUGAUCCUUUCUGGAGCAGCUCGAGGUGCAGAGUGAGAAGCUCCCUGGCAGCUCAUCACUGACAAAUCAAUAGUCAGCUAUGAAGGGAGAUGAAGAGUUAGUCCCUGGGUCCGUGGAGAGUAGGGCCUGCCCCCCACACACAGAUUUCCUGAGCUUGCCAGGAGGUUUGGAGGGAUCUCGGGAGCGUGGGAAUGCCCUGGUGCAUCAGCAGCCAGAGCUCUGCCUUUUCCAAUUACAUCUUGCCAGCAGAUUAUGAAAUCCUUUAAUCUCAGCGCAGCGAAGCUGAGCUGCUGCCUUACAGCCACUGCUCACUCCACAUCUGCUGGAAACCACGUCCAAGAUAAAAGCCUGGAGCCUCCCACACAGCUGCCAGCCGUCCCUUUUCCCCUCUCAGCUCCCGUGUGAGAUGAUGGCAGAGGUGGAAGAGGGCACAGCCCGGAGCUGUGGGACCUUGGCAAGCAGACACAGAGUUCCCAAAGUCACACAGGAGCGGGGACACGGUUUGGGGGUACAGGCCAGGGGUGCUGGGCAUGUGUGGGCUCCCAGCCUGCAAAGCCAGCAGGGCUGCAGCUCCUUCCAGCCCCCGGAAUGACUGGGACACGAUGCUGCUGAGCCAUGCAGCCUGCAUCCCAGCGGGAUUCAUCCGCUGCUGGGGCCACAUCUUCUCCUGGGGGCGGCCUGCAGGAGAGGCAGCAUUUGCAGCAGCUUGCAUUCCUGUGUCCUGUUGGUGAGGAGACAAAAUUCAU
ensembl:lncRNA